CAGUCGCCGCGGUAAUACGGAGGGAGCUAGCGUUGUUCGGAAUUACUGGGCGUAAAGCGCGCGUAGGCGGUUACUCAAGUCAGAGGUGAAAGCCCGGGGCUCAACCCCGGAACUGCCUUUGAAACUAGGUGACUAGAAUCUUGGAGAGGUCAGUGGAAUUCCGAGUGUAGAGGUGAAAUUCGUAGAUACUCGGAAGAACACCAGUGGCGAAGGCGACUGACUGGACAAGUAUUGACGCUGAGGUGCGAAAGCGUGGGGAGCAAACAGGAUUAGAUACCCCUGUAGUCCCUGUCUCUUAUAC
rnacentral:rRNA from 1 species